rnacentral:SRP_RNA from 1 species
GGCUGUGGUCUGGAGCCACUUCGUGGCGAAGCCUGUGUGGGCCGUGCCCCGUGACGAGCGGAUGUCCGGCCGGCGCACGGCGUCCUACUGAGACAGAAGAUGGCCAAGAAGGCAGAGAAGGCCAAGAAGGCGAAGGAGA